GGUCGAAUGGCGUAGUGGUUAGGGCCCUUACUGCUAUGCCGAAGGUCCCGGGUUCGAUUCCCGGCUGGGGCA
rnacentral:tRNA from 1 species